rnacentral:tRNA from 1 species
GCCGAGGUGUUGGAAUGGCAGACAAUACAGAUUUAAAAUCUGUUGGGGUUUAUCCCCGUGAGGGUUCGAGUCCCUCCCUCGGUA